CCAUAGAAUGUCAUCUUCAGGAGUGCACUGGAGGACACCAAGCCAGGGAAGGCAUUUAUGAACUUUCCUGGGGAGGUUUUAAAGAGCUGCAUUGAAACUGGGAGAAAUGUGGCAUUGAGAAUUUGUUCUUCCAGACCCAGGGACAAAGGAAAUCAGUGAUAAAUUCAUUCAGUGUGCCCAAGUGAAGGUCCAUCUUCUUGAAGGUUCCACCCAAGACUUAAAGAAAAAGGCCUUUGGAGAACAUUGCAGGUUGGAACACAGCACCAGUCUUACCUGUUGAUGAAUGUUUUGCAUCAACCAGAGUCCCAAGGGCCUUGAACAGGGUGUUCUCUUCACUUCAGAUGAGACACUGGCUUCCAAAGCAAUAGACUCCUACUGAAUGCCUGCUAGUGAUGGUGAAGAGCUUAUUGUAGCAUGAGCUGCUAAUAAGAAUUCAACUACCUUUCACGUUUCUUGGAUUUCAAGGGAAGCCAGAGGGAAGUCCUCACUCUGAACUUCUGAGACUGAAUUUCACGUUUGGCUGCCAACGGUGCCAGGUCCUGUUGUUCCAGGCGCAGGGAUUUCCUGGUCACUUCCAGCUCCCUGUCUGGAGGACUUGUGGUUCCUCUCACUUUGAAUUUGCACAGUGUUUUUGUGCACAAUACUGACACGAAGCAGCCACUUUUCCUUGAUCUCUGUGCCUGCUAUGACCCCCCCGGCCCCUCAGCCCUGCAUUUGGCUUUACUCUUGGUUUGAAAGAUGAAUCUGGGCACUGAUUUGAAUGAAGAUGUGUGCAGGCCAGGUGCAAUUAACCCUGCUACAAUUGUUUGUAUGUUGUUCCUAAACCUCUCUCAAAUAUGGUCAGUACCCACUUUGUAGAGUGGACCCAUAUCUGCCAGCAUUUUUCCAAAAAGCAAUUUAUCUUAAAAUUCCUGUAGGUCAACGCAACCCAUAUGACAAGCCAAAAGGCAGUAGUUGUUUCUUAGUUUUAUCGGGAGCUCUAGAUAGUGGAGCUCAGGGCAGCAGGGAGCAAGGGUGCCACACCCAGGGGGCCCAAUAAGUGCAAACUGAAAAAAACAUCAGGGCAAAGACAGGCAUUUCCAGUCUCGGAGAAGGUGGUCUUCUCAUCCUGAGGUACAAGCCCUGGAGACCUAGAGAAUUCUGAGCAGAGACUGGGUGACUUCCUGUACAUGCAUAGUUUAUAUAUACUACUGCCAAUGUUUGAUUAUUUCAAAUAUUAAUGGAUCUUUUGGUAAGCUUCUGAUUAAGCUAACUUUAUCCAAGAUUUCUUCCCUCUUCUUGCCUUCCUCUGUGUACUAAUUGUCAGUGAAAUUUUAUUUUUUUCUGCAUGCAGACACAUGACAUUUGAAUUUUAUUGAAAGUUUUACUUUUCCUUCAGUGUUCCCUACUGAUUUUUACUGAAAUAUUGUUUUGUCGGCAUAUAAUCCACUUAUAAUUUGUCUACCUUCCCUGGGCAGGAAUUGAUUCAAAAUUGAUGCUUUUGUUGUCACUGUUGCUAGAUUUCCUCUGACUGAGAUUACCAGAUGGGGAUUCGUGCAAAUGCCAUUUAUUUCCCACUGCACCCUGCUUUUUAGUCACCAAUGUGCUAUGAACCACUGUGGUGGCAUUUGUUUUCACAAUGACCCCUUAAUGAACAGACUCCAUUUACCGACAUAUUCGUGGCAUUUCUCCUGCUGUGUUUCUGUAUUCACUGGUGCUGUUAUAUUUCUUUUUUCUGUGUGAUUUUAUAAUUUCUCCGCACCAGUUGGCCAUUAUUCCAAAUCCAGAACUGUUUUCUUAUGUACAGUAUAGUGUAUAUUGUAUUUACAUCAGUAACAUCAUACAUUUUCCUUACAAAACUAUUUUAAAAUCGUUUCCCAAGCACAUAUGAUGUAAAGUAGAGCUGUUCUGCCAAAAAUAUUUUCUUGAGGAAAAAAAAGAGUGUGUUUUAUGCUCUGUUAUGUCUUGUAGACUAGGAAAUAAACUACUGUACUUCCAGAUUGUUCUGAAAGGGAUACCAAAUGAAUAAAAGGAAACUAGUGUUUACUAAGCAUAGCAUUUUUGUAAACUGUAUAAACUUCAAAUAAGGUUACCUGAUAAAAUAUAGGACACCAAGUUAAAUUUGAAUUUCAGAUAAGCAAGGAAUCGUUUAGCAUAUAACAAAUAAUGCAUGAGAUACUUACACUAGUGUUACUUGUUUAUGAGUUCAGAAUGAACUGAGUGUCCUGAAAUUGAUUUACUAAAUCUAACCAUCCUGUCCUUAGAUGACCCUGUGUGACUCCAACCCACAUUGUUUUCACUUUGCUCUGCCUGUAUAUUAAUUUCCCUGUGUCUAAAGAAAAUAUUUUUGGGGAGGCUGAGGAAACUUGAAAUAGCUUUCAACAUGGAGAC